GCAUGAAAAGUCUACCACAUGUUUCAUUUUCCGCGGCUUUCGAGUGUUUUUGGUUGGGUUAAAAAAUUAUUUUGUCUAAACAAAGCCCUAGAAUGCUUGGCAUUUUUUAAAGCAGUGUGUCCAACCCUUUUUUCAAUGUAAUUUUUCGUUUAAUUUCAAUGUGUUCAUGUAACAUGUCAAGAUGUCCAUGUUACGGCUGGCAAUGGUUGACGUGGCGAUUGAUUGGGUAAGGUCUAGUUGUUGUCUAAUUUUCAGCCGUACAAGAUUCAAUUUUGCGCGCAAAUCGUUAUGUAAUUAAAAUAAUUUUCUAAACCCAAUAAUUUCAAUAUUAGGAUUUUCUUCUCUUUCACAGCUGAGCUCGAGAUUAUUUCAUUCAAACCAGCCGUUUUGACGCAAUCGCUUCGCAAGUUGAGUAGAUAGUUAACGAUCAUACUAUUCCCAUAUAGAGAAUAGCUGCGAAUAGGGGCGGGGCAUCCAGGUAUUUAAUGUCGUUCCACAUAAACCAGCCCGUUCGGUGAGGAUCACAAUGGAAAUUAUCUAAUGACAAGGCUGAACCGUCAGUGUCGAAUGGCUAACAAUAGAGGUGUCUCACCGAGUUCCUUCCGUGACUCGGCUAAUAAAGCCCCCAUUUCCGAUCCGCUCCUGUCCAGAAGUUUACGCAGUUCAGUUACCGAGCCGCUACUGAUGGCAGCAAAGAAAUCGGAUUGUAGUUUUAAAGACGGCUUAAGACACGGGGUCGGUCCUGGUUCUAACAACGGUAGAGGCGUGGCCGAUGUGGUAAUAAUCCAGACGUCUCAGCUAUCAAGGCUGUUGACACUGGCGACUGGGGUGUGCAAGUGGAUCUUAAACUACGAGGGUAUUUUGCCUAAUCCUUCGUAGAACUCUUUCCCAACGUCCAUUAGGAAAACGGAACCAAAUCCAUCGCCAUACUCGACGUGGAGGAACAGAAUCUUCUGUUGGUGAAUCCAUUAUGAAUGCCGGUAAAAUCGAUGAUGAUUACGGUGAGUCUAUCACGAUGCCUUACAUUCCAUUACUAUUUCCGUGUGUGGAAAGGAUUGUCAUUUUCGCGAUUGGGAUUAUUGUGUCUAUUCUACCUACACCACAGAGUAAAGCCAUUACAAACAUCCUAGUUUCCCCUGCCACCGUGAUUGUGUUCCACCGUCGUUUCUUUAUAUUUUGUUACCAAAAGUCGAACUCGGAUGACCCAGCAUUUAAGGGUUUGAUGUUUAAGAAUCUGAAGAAAAUUUUACGCAAGGAAAUGAAAUGUGAUGGUGGAAUGUAACUUACAUUGUGUAAGGCUUCUUCAUGCGAAGGGAACCUUCAGCACCUUUACUCCCCAUCCUCUUCAUCUUCAUUGUGAUCACUGUUAAAGUUAUGUCUGUCAAUAAGAUUGUAGUGCACAACCCAAACGAAUCCGAUUCCAGCGUCAUUACGUCCCCGACUCACCAUCAAUGAGCCCACUCAGUUUUGGCAAAUAUUGUAAGAAUCGCUCGAUUUCUUUUCAAUCGGCGAGUUUUUGCUGGCUCAAUCGGCGCUCUGCGGAAACAAGCCUUCACGGAAAAGAUGGUUGUAUUUGACAGAGUACAAAUGAUCACUGCGGUCCUAAAAUGCUUGUUUGAGAUUUGGUAGUUAUUACCUCUCCAUUUCAAUCAAAAGUUAAUGCCAACUUUUUAACAAUUGGAUUAUUGCCCUUGACCUGAUUCUUCAUGAGGAGCUGAUUCCGUUUCGCCGGACAUCUCUGGAAGCCUCUACAACAACGAAUACAUAUGAGAAAGUAAACGAGUGCCGUGCAUUUCACGCACACGCGACUGGGUGGAACUAACUCGACAAAUGUUGAAGCCAUGGGUAGUUCCACCGAUUCCGGUGACAUAUCCAAUUCUUUAUCAACGGAGCGUUGGUAAAGAAUUUUGGUACUAUCAAUUUAGUAAGUUAAAAUAAGCACAGCAGAUUAUGUCCAUUCCUAAAAAAAAUCACCAUAAAUUAAAUAAUAAUUCUCGCUUUUUAAAACAAAAGUAAAAAAAUGGGGCAGUAACAAACAAAUUUAAAGUUUGGCAGCGGAUGACCCAGCUGUAAGAUCCAGCCUGUGUGAACUUGACCCACUUUUCAAUGGUCUUGCAUGUAGCAUCAGCACGGUUAGCUAUAGCCAACCCCCACGUCGCGAUUUUAGCAAGCGGCCGCGGAAACAUCCCGCGGAACCGAAGUACCCAACAUACGCCUUAAUAUAUUAUAUUGUUUAUGACGCACAUCGUGCACAUUCGUCUUACAUACGUAAACAUAUGUACACUUUAUCCACAAGACUGAUCACCGUUACCACUAUAAUUAACUACAGCCAAGUCUUUUAUACAGUAAAAAUCCAGCGCGUAAACUUUGUCUGUAAACGGACGGAAUGCUCGGCACGGUAGAAAUCAAAUUUCUUGUGUUUUGAAAACAAAAUCGAAAAAAUGAAAAAUGAACUUUGUUAACAUUUUUUUAGCUUUGGGAAAAAUGCAACAUCAUUUCGCUGCUCUGCGCAAGAAGGUAAGAAAAUACCAUUAAUAAGUCGUAAAAUUGAGUGAAUUCAUCGUUCUCGGAUUCAAACUUUAAAUUUUGAAUGUUCCGCAAAAAUUUCCCAUGUUAUACCUUUUCCAGGUUUUUUGCAGAAAUUGCUAUUCCGUAUUCUGUAUGUGGAAAUUGACCCGGAAGUAAGACCCUUCCCGAUUGAAUGAUAGUUCACUGUCUGUUAUCGACCAUUUUUCGGUUGGGGUCCCUGAUUAUAGCAAAUAAAGGUUAAGGCGCUUACCCUAAUUUCAUGCUUCCAAUUUUCAAAUCCGUUUAUUGACGCGAAGAAGUUUGCUUUUGUGAGCACGGGGUUGGUUUUGCCUAUGGUUUUGCCUAGCUCGGAGAAGACGCUUCAAUUCUAAGACCAACUUACAAUAUCGACGAUGAAACGGAGCUGAUGGAGCCCCGGAUCGUUGCUGAACCCCAAGAUGGAAGCAAAUGGUGGUACACUCCAUCGAGGAAGGCC